CCUACGGGAGGCAGCAGUGAGGAAUAUUGGUCAAUGGACGAGAGUCUGAACCAGCCAAGUAGCGUGAAGGAUGACUGCCCUAUGGGUUGUAAACUUCUUUUAUAUGGGAAUAAAAUGUUCCACGUGUGGGAUUUUGUAUGUACCAUAUGAAUAAGGAUCGGCUAACUCCGUGCCAGCAGCCGCGGUAAUACGGAGGAUCCGAGCGUUAUCCGGAUUUAUUGGGUUUAAAGGGAGCGUAGGUGGAUUGUUAAGUCAGUUGUGAAAGUUUGCGGCUCAACCGUAAAAGUGCAGUUGAAACUGGCAGUCUUGAGUACAGGAGAGGUGGGCGGAAUUCGUGGUGUAGCGGUGAAAUGCUUAGAUAUCACGAAGAACUCCGAUUGCGAAGGCAGUUCACUGGACUGCAACUGACACUGAGGCUCGAAAGUGUGGGUAUCAAACAGGAUUAGAUACCCUUGUAGUC
rnacentral:rRNA from 1 species